ACGGCGGUGAUGGUACUAUGUGUGCCUGCUUGCCCCUCUCCUCGGUUGGUGUUCGAUGCUAAGUUGUUUUUGCUUCUUCUUUUCUUGAGCCUUGUAUGUAUCUGUAAUAAGCUCACGGUAGUUGAGAUGUAUUAAGAUGUAUAUAUAUUUGGCGUAGCUUGGACUUUGAUGUUAGAUGUAUAUACUGGUGUGGUAGAGGCAAUGAAGUGAAAUUAACGUCAUGGUUCAUCUAGCGGAAUUUCUUGGACUAGUAGUAUUUGUAUUGUUUGACAUGAGAGAUACUUUAACAAAUACAUAUUUCUCUUGAAGUAGGCUUUCAUCCCCGCUUUAUAAAUAAAGCAACCAUCACAUCCAUACAACAAGAGUGCACGAAGAAAGUAACCGAGUAUAUUGGAGCAUCAGCACAAACACGGCGAAAAAAAAACAUGAAAGAAAACGAAAAAAAGACCACCAAGUGGUCGGUGCCUCAAGCACACUGAGGCGUAGUAAGUCGGCAUGGGGCAGCAGUCAUCGCGUCCAUCGUGUCGCCAAACCAAUCAUGAUCCCUCUGUCCACAUAUUGAGUUUCAGUGCUGCAAGAAUAAAAAAACUUGAAGAUAGAGUCAGAGGCCAGCCUAAGAAAGACCCGCUCAAUAACCAUCUUGUUACGUGUCGUCCACAGGGUCCAAACUAACGCUGCACGUCUCCUCCUCCUAGUUUGGUUGGCCUAGUUUUAAAGAAACGGAGCUAGGUCUGAGGCCUCCCAAUCGGGCCCUAGAACCUCACGGAUAAAACACCAAAGUAAUAGCGCUGCCAAGAAGAGGGUAUGAGUCCAUGUCUCCGGGAUAGCACAAAGGGGGCACGAUCCAUCCCCAGGGUCCUGAUGUUUGAUCACCUCUGUCCCAGAUGGGAGGCAAUCUCCCAACAAUUGCCAUAGAAAUAUUCGGCACAAGGCAUGAUAUUGCCAAGACACGGCGUCCGGGAGCACCGUCCGCGGGGAGGGGGGAGGUUUGCCCGCAAUUUGUCCCACGCCAUGGUCUCCAUGGGCCCAAAUGUCCUUCGGAACAAGAUUUUUGAAUGGCACUAUGGGCAACCAUGGAAAUCAACAUCAUCAGGUCCGAGCAGAUAGCAGAUAAAUUUGCAAACUCCGUACACUAUGGAGACCCGUCCACCUAGGGAUCAAAUCAGAAAAGGGUUCCCUCUCAUUGCCAGUGGAGAUAGAGAACCCAAGGUGGAUCUCACUCUUGAUCUGCUGGAUGGACCUCUAGAAUUGAGAUCCCUCCGUGCGCUCACAAGCUAGCAGUAGCCUUCCGUCCUUGUGAAGGACCUACCAGAUCCAUCGUAGUAUAAGGGCCACAUUAAUGCGAUGUGAUGCUAGAAUGCCUGGCCCUCCUAUGGCCUUUGGCAUCCAAUUGUCAACCCACUUGACCAUAUGGUAUUUUUGUCGACCAUUCAUUGCCUGCCAGAAGAAGUGGGAAAGGUCUUUAUCAAAACAACCAUGGACCGCUUCCGAUAGGAUAUAUAUAACCCCGUCAUAUACACGGGGAGACUAGACAUGUAGGAAUCAAUAAGAACAGUCUUACUCACUUUAGACAUGAAACGACCACACCAUGGUUCCUACUAAGAAGUGAACCAAUCCAUAAGCAAGUAAACCGAAGGGUAUCCUUGAAUCAGCCAACGGCAUACCUAAUUACAAAAUGGGGAAGGAGGAUGGCCUGCAAGUCAAGUUGUUCGUGAUCCACUGCUGAUCGUCAUCAUAGUACCCUAAAACUACCACUAUGCUCUUGUUGAAGUAGAUCUUAAUACCUAACAUGUCAUUGAAGCAUAAAAUGAGGAACUAAAGGUAUCAUCAUAAUCAUGGUAUCGUCAGCAUACUACAAGUGUGUGACACCACCUCAAGGGAUAAGAUGCACAACCAGCCCAGAGAUGUGGCCGGCCAUCCUAGCCUUAUCCAGGAUGGCCUCAGGGGUGUCGACGGUGAGGUUAAAGAGGAGGGGAAAUAGGACGCCCCCUUCCUCAACCCAUUAAUAUUAAUCGGGGUGCUACCGCUCCGAAUCAACUGCAUGAUCCAUGAAUCAAGGACUAAGAAGAGGAAGGACCGGUGCAGGCGAUCAUAUACUUUCUGAAAGUCUAGCUUAAGGAAGACGCCUUUAUGGCUGUUGGGGAAUGCAGUAUUUCAAAAAAAAUUCCUACGAUCACGCAAGAUCUAUCUAGGAGAUGCAUAUCAACGAGAGGGGAGAGUGUGUCUACGUACCCUCAUAGAAUGAAAGCGGAAGCGUAUAAUAACGCAGUUAAUGUAGUCGAACGUCUUCGUGAUCCAACCAAUCCAAGUACCGAUUGUACGACACCUCCAUGAUCAGCACACAUUCAGCUCGGUGAUGUCCCUCGAACUCUUGAUCCAGUUGAGGCCAAGGGAGAGUUCCGUCAGCACGACGGCGUGGCGACGGUGAUGAUGAAGUUUACCGGCGCAGGGCUUUGCCUAAGCACUACGACGAUAUGAUCGAGGUGUGUAACUAUGGAAGGGAGAACCACACACAACUAAGAGAAACUUUGGUGUGCCUUUGGGAUGCCCCCUCUCACGUAUAUAAAGGGGGGAGGAGAGGUGGCCGGCCCUAGGAGGGGGCGCGCCAUGGGGGGGUCCUACUUGGACUCCUAGUCCAAGUAGGAUUCGAUCCCCCCCUUUCCUAGUCCAAGUAGGAGAAAAAGGGAAGGAGGAGAGAAGAGAAGGAAGGAAGGGGGCGCCCCCCUCCCCUUGUCCAAUUCGGACUGGGCAAGGGGGGGCACCACCUCUGGCCGACCCUCUCUCUUCUCCACUAAGGCUCAUUGUGGCCCAUUAACUUCCGGGGGGGGUCCCGAGGGAUAUGAUCCCUUCACUUAAUCUCAAUAUAAAAGUGUUCUCCCCGAGUAUGCACCGUUGCUACAGUUCGUCGUUUCGAGACACCACGUGAUGAUCGAGUGUGAUAGACUCUACGUUCACAUACAACAGGUGUAAGACAGUUUUGCACAUACAAAAUACUUGAGUUAAACUUGAUGAGCCUAGCAUUUACACACAUGGUCUCGGAACACUGGAGACCGAAAGGUCGAACAUGAGUCAUAUAGUAGAUAUGAUCAACAUAGAGAUGUUCACCAUUGAUGGCUACCUCAUCUCACGUGAUGAUCAGACAUGGGUUGGUUGAUUUGGAUCAUUUAUCACUUAAGUAACUUGAGGGAUGUUAAUUUAAGUGGGGGUUCAUUAGUAAUUUGAUUAAUUGAACUUAAUUUAUCAUGAACUUAUUCUUGAUAGUUUUGCAUAUCUAUGUUGUAGAUCAAUAGCUCGCGAUAUAGCUCCUAUAUAUUUUUGAUAUGUUCCUAGAGAAAACUAAGUUGAGAGAUGAUAGUAGCAAUGAUGCGGACUAGGCCGUGAUCUGAGGAUUAUCCUCAUUUGCUACACAGAAGAAUUAUGUCCUUGAUGCACCACUAGGUGACAAACCUGUUGUUGGAGCAUAUGCAGACGUUAUGAAUGUUUUGCAAGCUCGAUAUGAUGACUACUUGAUAGUUUAGUGCGCCAUGCUUUACGGCUUAGAACCGGGACUUCAAAAAUGUUUUGAACACCACGGAGCAUAUGAGCUGUUCCAAGAGAUGAAAAUUGGUAUUUCAGAUUCAUGCCCGUGUCAAGAGGUAUGAGACCUCUGACAAUUACUUUGCCUACAAGAUGGAGGAGAAUAGCUCAACCAGUGAGCAUGUGCUCAGAAUGUCUGGGUACUGCAAUCGCUUGAAUCAAGUGGGAGUUAAUCUUCCAGAUAAUAUAGUGAUUGACAAAGUUCUCUAGUCACUAUCGCCAAGCUACUAGAACUUCAUGAUGAACUAUAAUAUGCAGGGGAUGGCGAAAAUGAUUCCCGAGCUCUUCGCGAUGCUGAAAUCGGCGAAGGUAGAAAUCAAGAAGAAGCAUCAAGUGUUGAUGGUUAACAAGACCAGCAGUUUCAAGAAAAAGGGCGAGGGAAAGAAAGGGAGCUUCAAGAAGAAUGGCAAGCAAGUUGCCACUCUCACGAAGAAGCCCAAAGUUGGACCUGUCGGCGUUCUGGGAACGGGGGGUCCCCAGACUUGCCUGCCUGCGGCCCAUGGCAUGGCUGAGCUAGCAGGCCUGUAUGGCCCAUCUUCAUCGACAAGGCAUUCAAGACCCUCGCGAGGGGCCAAGCCUCACGAGGCGGACGACGCAAGACCCCCUCGGGAGCGGCCUCGCCAGGCAGGCUCACGAGGGGCAUAGAGAUCAAGGCAAGGCAAACCUCGCGAGGUCCUCGUGACGUGAGCCAUGACGAUCGAGACCAGGCGGGUGCCAAGUGGGCGCCAGCGCGCGCAGCGUCCUUGUUUCCUCUUUGGUGCCAAGGGGGCAAGCGCAGGUGCGAAGUACCGAGGCAUCAGGCAAAGGUUUCCAUAUUGGUGCAAUGAGACCAAGACCAGCAGGACGACAAGACGGAGGUCACCAUGGAGCCCAGGAUGGCGUCACCACCAGAACCUUUGGCAGGCGAAGACCACCUUUUGUCAUGAUAACUUGUACUGGCUGUCCCCUUUCAAAUUGGCCGUUGUUGGCUCCCUUCCCACUUAAUAUUUGGGGAGAGGACCAGGGCCUCUAUAAAUAGGACUAGCCACCACCAUAGGCGGGGACGGAUCAUCAAGACCAUCCUCAGCCAUGCAAGUGCGUCAAGCACAAGAACACCUCAACCUCAGGAGGCUGUUCUUCCCUUUCAAUUGCUCAUCAUCAGCCCAAGAACCAAUCCACCACCACCACACUGGAGUAGGGUAUUACACCGCAACGGUGGCCCAAACCAGUAUAAAUCUUGUGUCUUUGUCUUGUGAGUUCGUCGAGUUCGUCCGCGAGAUCUUAGGGAGCUAGGGCGUGGAUCUAUAGGGAGAAACCUUCGCGCGCACCCUAGUGUUCGAACCUCGAGGGUUUUGCCGGAACCUAUGAUCCGACAUUCGGCGCGCCAGGUAGGGGUGCGUCGAAGCUUCCUUCCGUCGCUCCGCGCCCCGUUGCUCCAUCAUCGCCAUGGCAGACGCGCACUACGCUCGUGCUGAGCGCCGGGCUGCCCUCGCCGCCCACGUCGCUCAGACGGCUCCCCUCGGCUGUCCACCUCGUCGUUCCCCAUCGCCUGCCGCCAACGCCGCCACCGACCCGACGGGGAAUGAGCUGCAAGCAUCCUCGAUGCACCCCUUGGUGCGGCAGGACAGCCGCACCGCCACUCCAUCGCUGACCCCGGCCGGUUCUUCUUCCCAUGCAUGUCGCCCUCCCAUGGACGCACGGGCCACGCUCCUCAUGGCGCACGAGCUCCUACGCUACCGACCGGUCGACGACCUCUACGAGGACUGGCUCGACCGCAUCGCUGAGCUUGUCCGCGCUGCAGGGGGCUCCCCUGCGCCGCCCCUCUCUCCGCCUCGCCCUCUGCCUGCUAUGGGCGACGUGGCUUACGGAGCGCCUCGACCACCUCUGCCCCAAGACGGAGCCCUGGCGCCAAGACGCGUGGCUCCGCGACGCGACCCGCCGUGUCCCGCGCCCGCGCGUGAAGAAAGAAGCUGUCAAGAAGUCCCUCGACCGCAAGAAAAUGCUCCCCCGCUCCUUGCGCCACCGCGCCAGGACCGGCUGCGGCGGCAAGACCGCGUGCCACUUGUAGCGGCAGGGGUGGACCCCAUCAAGACCAAGCUCCACCCCCAAAGCAGGCCCCGGUGACCACAACCGGCUGACGCGCUUUCACCCCCGAGCUGCGUAGCGUCGCCUGGCUGGGCAAGUUCAAGUCGGAUCUGCCUCCUCGCUACGACGGCACCCCGACCCCGCGGAGUUCUUGCAGCUCUACGAGCUAAGCAUCAAAGCGUCCAACGGCGACGAGAAAGUCAUGGCAACUGGUUUUCCAUGGCUCUCAAGGAUGGCGCCCGCUCCUGGCUCCUGAACCUGCCUUCGGGCUCAAUUUCCUCCUGGGACGAAAUGCGCAACCGCUUCAUCGCUAACUUCCAAGGCACUCGCGACCGCCCCCCAGUCGCGGGCGACCUGCGCCGCAUCAAGCAACAACCAGGAGAGACCCUGCAGAAGUACAUUCAGCGCUUCAACAGCGCACGAAUCAAGAUCCCAAGGUGACCGACAAGGCCAUCAUCUCAGCAUUCUCCGACAGUGUCCGCGACGUCAAGAUGAAGGAGGAGCUCGCCAUCCAUGAAGAGAUGUGCACGACCCUAGAGUUGUUCAACACCGCGACCAAGUGUGCUAGAGCUGAGGAGGGGUGCACCAUGCUCGGCUUUCUGAAAACAAUCGCACCAUGCUCGAUACUUCUUGUGCUGGCUCUUUUAUGAUGAAGACUAUUGAAUUCAGAUGGAAUUUAUUGGAUAGAAUUAAAUGCAACUCUGAAGAUUGGGACCUCGACGAAGGUAAGGAGUGAGGUAUGACACCUAAGUUUGAUUGUGUUAAAUCUUUUAUGGACACCGAUAUUUUUCGUAAGUUUAGCACUAAAUAUGGACUUGACUCUGAGAUAGUGGCUUCUUUCUGUGAAUCUUUUGCUACUUAUGUUGAUCUCCCUAAGGAGAAGUGGUUUAAAUAUCAUCCUCCCAUAGAAGUAAAGUAGUUGCACCUAUUAAAGUUGAAGAAAAGACUGUCACUUAUAAUGAUUCUAUUGUUCCAACUUCUUAUGUUGAGAAACCACCUUUCCCUGUUAGAAUAAAGGAUCAUGCUAAAACUUCAAUUGUUGUACGUAAAAGCAAUAUUAGAACUUAUACACCUCCUGAGCAAGUUAAAGUAGAACAUAAUAUUGCUAUUGUUAAAGAUCUCUUGUCUGAUAAUAUUGAUGGGCAUGUUAUUUAGUUCGAAGGUGAAACUGCUAGAAUUGAUAAACCUUGUGCUAAAGAUAAACAUAGACCUGUGGUAGGUGUGCCUGUUAUUUCUGUUAAAAUAGGAGAUCAUUGUUAUCAUGGCUUAUGUGAUAUGGGUGCGAGUGCUAGUGUUAUACCGCAUACUUUAUACGAAGAAAUUAAGAAUGAAAUUGCACCUGCUGAGUUAGAAGGUAUUGAUGUCACAAUUAAACUUGCCAAUAGAGAUACUAUUUCACCAAUUGGAAUUGUUAGAGAUGUUGAAGUCUUGUGUGGGAAAACUAAAUAUCCUGCUGAUUUUCUUGUUCUUACUUCUCCGCAAGAUAGCUUUUUCCCCAUUAUAUUUGGUAGACCCUUCUUGAACACUGUUAAUGCUAGGAUAGAUUGCGAAAAGAAUGUUGUUACUAUUGGCUUGGAUGAUAUGGUUCAUGAGUUUAAUUUUUCUAAAUUUAGUAAACAACAUCGUGAGGAAGAAUUACCUAGUAAGGAUGAAAUUAUUGGUCUUGCUUCUAUUGUCGUACCUCCCAGUGAUCCUUUAGAACACUAUUUGCUAGACCAUGAAAAUGAUAUGUUCAUGAAUGAAAGAAGGGAAAUAGAUGAAGUAUUCUUUAAACAGGAACCUAUUAUGCAACACAAUUUGCCUGUUGAAAUUUUAGGGGAUCCUCCUCCACCCAAGGAUGAUCCCGUGUUUGAGCUUAAACCCUUGCCCGAUAAUCUUAAAUUUGCUUAUCUUGAUGAAAAGAAGAUAUAUCCUGUUAUUAUUAGUGCUAACCUUACAGAGUAUGAAGAAGAAAGAUUAUUGAAAACUCUGAGGAAGCAUCGUGCUGCUAUUGGAUAUACUCUUGAUGAUCUUAAGGGAAUUAGUCCCACUCUGUGUCAACAUAAAAUAAAUUUGGAAGCAGAUGCCAAACCAGUUCGUGAUCCUCAACGACGUCGGAAUCCUAAAAUGAAAGAAGUGGUAAGAAAAGAAAUACUAAAGCUUCUGGAGGCAGGUAUAAUCUAUCCCGUUGCUGAUAGUGAGUGGGUAAGUCCUGUCCAUUGUGUCCCUAAGAAGGGAGGUAUUACUGUUGUUCCUAAUGAUAAAGAUGAAUUGAUUCCACAAAGAAUUAUCACAAGUUAUAGGAUGGUAAUUGAUUUCCGCAAAUUAAAUAAAGCUACUAAGAAAGAUCAUUACCCCUUACCUUUUAUUGAUCAAAUGCUAAAAAGAUUAUGAAAACAUACACACUAUUGCUUUCUUGAUGGUUAUUCUGGUUUCUCUCAAAUACCUGUGUCGGCUAGAGAUCAAUCAAAGACUACUUUUACAUUCCCUUUUGGUACUUUUGCUUAUAGACGUAUGCCUUUUGGUUUAUGUAAUGCACCUGCUACCUUUCAAAGAUGCAUGAUGGCUAUAUUCUCUGACUUUUGUGAAAAGAUUUGUGAGGUUUUCAUGGAUGAUUUUUCCGUCUAUGGUUCCUCUUUUGAUGAUUGCUUGAGCAAUCUUAACCGAGUUUUGCAGAGAUGUGAAGAAACUAAUCUUGUCUUGAAUUGGGAAAAGUGCCACUUUAUGGUUAAUGAAGGUAUUGUCUUGGGGCAUAAAGUUUCUGAAAGAGGUAUUGAAGUUGAUAAAGCCAAGGUUGAUGCUAUUGAAAAGAUGCCAUGUCCCAAGGACAUCAAAGGUAUAAUAAGUUUCCUUGGUCACGCCGGAUUUUACAGGAGGUUCAUUAAGGACUUCUCAAAACUUUCUCGGCCUCUGACUAAUUUAUUGCAAAAAGAUAUACCAUUUGUCUUUGAUGAUGAUUGUGUAGAAGCAUUUGAAACACUUAAGAAAGCAUUAGUCUCUGCGCCUGUUGUUCACGCACCUGAUUGGAAUUUACCCUUUGAAAUUAUGUGUGAUGCUAGUGAUUAUGCUGUAGGUGUUGUUCUAGGGCAAAGAGUUGAUAAGAAAUUAAAUGUUAUUCAUUAUGCUAGUAAGACUCUAGACAAUGCUCAAAGAAAUUAUGCUACUACUAAAAAAGAGCUUUUAGCAGUUGUAUUUGCUUGUGAUAAGUUCAGACCUUAUAUUGUUGAUUCUAAAGUAACUAUUCAAACUGAUCAUGCUGCUAUUAAAUACAUUAUGGAAAAGAAAGAUGCUAAACCUAGACUUAUUAGAUGGGUUCUCUUGCUACAAGAAUUUGAUUUGCAUAUUGUUGAUAGAAAGGGAGCUGAGAACCCCGUAGCAGACAACUUGUCUAGGUUAGAAAAUAUUCUUGAUGACCCACUAACUAUUAAUGAUAGCUUUCCUGAUGAACAAUUAAAUGUUAUAAGUACUUCUCGUAGUACUCCAUGGUAUGCUGAUUAUGCUAAUUAUAUUGUUGCUAAGUUUAUACCACCUAGCUUCACAUACCAGCAAAAGAAAAAGUUUUUCUAUGACUUGAGACAUUACUUUUGGGAUGACUCACAUCUUUAUAAAGAAGGAGUAUAUGGUGUUAUUAGACGUUGUGUACCUGAGCAUGAAUAGGAACACAUCCUACGCAAGUGUCAUUCCGAGUCUUAUGGAGGACACCAUGCUGGAGAUAGAACUGCACAUAAGGUAUUGCAAUCUGGUUUUUAUUGGCCUACUCUCUUCAAGGAUGCCCGUAAGUUUGUCUUAUCUUGUGAUGAAUGUCAAAGAAUUGGUAAUAUUAGUAGACGUCAAGAAAUGCCUAUGAAUUAUUCACUCAUUAUUGAACCAUUUGAUGUUUGGGGCUUUGAUUAUAUGGGACCUUUUCCUGCCUCUAAUGGAUACACACAUAUUCUAGUUGCUGUUGAUUACGUUACUAAGUGGGUAGAAGUUAUUCCAACUAGUAGUGCUGAUCAAAACACUUCUAUUAAAAUUCUUAAAGAAGUUAUUUUUCCGAGGUUUGGAGUCCCUAGAUAUUUAAUCACUAAUGGUGGUUCGCACUUUAUUCAUGGUGCUUUCCGUAAAAUGCUUGCUAAAUAUGAUGUUAAUCAUAGAAUUGCAUCUCCUUAUCACCCUCAGUCUAGUGGUCAAGUAGAGUUGAGCAAUAUAGAGCUCAAAUUAAUUUUGCAAAAGACUGUUAAUAGGUCUAGAAAGAAUUGGUCCAAGAAACUUGAUGAUGCAUUAUGGGCUUAUAGAACUGCAUACAAAAAUCCUAUGGGUAUGUCUCCGUAUAAAAUGGUUUAUGGAAAAGCAUGUCACUUACCUCUCGAACUAGAACAUAAGGCAUAUUGGGCUAUUAAAGAGCUCAACUAUGAUUUUAAACUUGCCGGUGAGAAGAGGUUAUUUGAUAUUAGCUCACUUGAUGAAUGGAGAACCCAAGCUUAUGAAAAUGCUAAGUUGUUUAAAGAAAAAGUUAAAAGAUGGCAUGACAAAAGGAUACAAAAGCAUGAGUUUAAUGUAGGUGAUUAUGUAUUGCUAUACAAUACUCUUUAAGAUUUUUUGCAGGAAAACUUCUCUCUAAAUGGGAAGGCCCCUAUGUUAUCGAAGAGGUCUAUUGUUCCGGUGCCGUAAACAUCAACAACUUUGAAGGCACAAAUCCGAAGGUGGUAAACGGUCAAAGAAUCAAACAUUAUAUCUCAGGUAAUCCCAUAAAUGUUGAAACCAAUAUUAUUGAAACCGUAACCCCGGAGGAAUACAUAAGGGACACUUUCUGGAACGUUUCAGACUCCGAAAAGGAAUAGGUAUGUGGUACAGUAAGUAAAUCGACUCCAAAACAAUUUUAAGGCAAUAUUUCUCCAGUUCGGAAUAUUUAGAAAAAUCGAAAAAUAAGUAGCAGUCCGGGAAGGAUACAAGGGCCCCACGAGGGUGGUGGGCGCGCCCUACCCCCCUGGGCGCGCCCCCUACCUCGUGAGCACCUCGUGUGCCUUCCGGACUCCGUUUUCUUGCACGAUACGUAUUUUGGUCGGUAAAAAUUCAUUAUAUAUUCUCCCGAAGGUUUUGACUCCCGUAUCACGCAAUUAUUCUAUGUUCUUGUUUCGAGCUGUUUUUCUGACAGAUCUAGAUUAUCAUGACGUCCCCAAGUGCUUCCAAGGACAAGUUCUUCGAGAAGGUCAUCAACCCUUACCUCGCGGAGGUGCUGUGACACCCUCAAACCAUUGAGAUGCGUGAUGGGUUGUUGCACAUCCGCGAUGUUGGGGGACCAAAGGGAACCGGAAGCGUGGAGACGAGGCUCGAAGCAAUGGAGCAACAAGUUUUCAAGUGCCAGGGGAUGGUGGAGCGUGGAAUCAACGCUAGCCACAUGAUGCUCGCGGAGUUCACUAACAACUACAAGCCGGAUGCCAAGAACACUGAGGAGGCCAUCUUCAAGCUAUAUGAGAAGAUCGAGCACCUCCAAGCCCAAAUCUAUGACCUGCAAAACCAAAACUGUGAGUAUGAAUAUAUAUUCAAAAGAAUGAGUUUGGCUGCAGAUUCGAGGAUUCCGGAGACUCGAUCAUCCUUCUAUGAUGGUGAACUUAUGCCUUGGAAGAUGGAUGACAAGCCUGCAUCAUCAACAACACCUCCACCUUCUUCACUAACCAAGGAGAUAUAAUCACAUGGGUAUGGGCACUCCCCUUGGCAACUGCCAAGCUUGGGGGAGGUGCCCCGGUAUCGUAUCACAAUCACAACUUCUAUCUUUACCGUUUUUCUUAGUUCGAUCCUAUUAGUAGUAUCUUGAUCUAGUAGAAUAAAGUUUAUGGCAUGAUCUAGUUUUGAGUUUGCUUUAUGAUCUCUCUAUGUAAUCGAGUCCAUGAGUUAUAUAUAAUAAAGAUUAGUGUUGAGUCAAGGGCUUGAUUAUUUUGCCAUGAUCUUGGGUGAAUAAAAGAAAGAAGAAAAGAAUAAAAAGAAAUAAAAAGUUCAUAUUGAUCUUAUUAAGAGUAAUGACUUCACAUAAAAAGAGUAUGAUGAUUAAAAGUUGUUGGGAGUUGGCAGACAUAGCUUUGGUCAUUGUUGCAAUUAAUAGGAAGUAAUAAGGAAAGAGAGGUUUUCACAUAUAGAUAUAUUAUCAUUGACAUCUUUUAUGAUUGGGAGAACUCAUUAAAAUAUGACAUGCUAAAGAGUUGAUGUUGGACAAGGAAGACAACGUAAUGAGUUAUGUCUUUCUUAUAUCUGAGAUAAAGUAUGUUGUCAUGGAUCCUCUAAAUUGUUGAGCUUGCCUUCCCCCCUCAUGCUAGCCAAAUUCUCAGCACUAAGUAGAAAUACUACUUGUGCUUCCAAAAUCCCUAAACCAGUUUUGCCAUGAGAGUCCACCAUAUCUACCUAUGGAUUGAGUAAGAUCCUUCAAGUAAGUUUUCAUCGGUGCAAAGCAAUAAAAAUUGCUCUAAACAUGUAUGAUUGAUUGGUGUGGGAGAAAUAAGCUUUAUACGAUCUUGUGAUGUGGAAGUAAUAAAAGCGACGGACUGCAUAAUAAAGGUUCAUAUCACAAGGGGCAAUAUAAAGUGACGUUCUUUCGCAUUGAGAUUUUGUGCAUCCAACCAUAAAAGCGCAUGGCAACCUCUGCUUCCCUCUGCGAAGGGCCUAUCCUUUAUUAUUAUCUGCUACCUUAUGCAAGAGUAAUGCAAACUUAGUAAAUGGGAUUUAAGCUUUACCAUAUCUAUAGAGAGAAUUUACCUGUACUACCUGUGUCGGGUUAUCAAGACCAUGAGCUUCUUCAAUAGGUGAUGGAUUAGAAUCAUGUAUUUCUUCAACAGGUGGUACAUUAAGACCAUGUAUUUCUUCAAUAGGAGGUAAAUCCUUAACAUCUUCAGCUUUUAUACCUUUUUCCUUCAUAGAUUUCUUUGCCUCUUGCAUAUCUUCAAGACUAAGAAAUAGAAUACCCCUCUUCUUCAGAGUUGGCUUAGGAGUUAGUUCAGGAAUUGGAUCAGGAAGUGUCCAAUUAUUUUCAUUAGUCAACAUAUUGUUCAAUAGAAUUUCAGCUUCAUCUGGGGUUCUUUCCCUGAAAACACAACCAGCACAACUAUCCAGGUGGUCUCUGGAGGCAUCGGUUAGUCCAUUAUAAAAGAUGUCAAGUAUUUCAUUUUUCUUAAGAGGAUGAUCAGGCAAAGAAUUAAGUAAUUGGAGAAGCCUCCCCCAAGCUUGUGAGAGACUCUCUUCUUCAAUUUGCACAAAAUUAUAUAUUUCCCUUAAAGCAGCUUGUUUCUUAUGAGCAGGGAAAUAUUUAGCAGAGAAGUAAUAAAUCAUAUCCUGGGGACUACACACACAACCAGGAUCAAGAGAAUUAAACCAUAUCUUAGCAUCACCCUUUAAUUAGAACGGAAAUAUCUUAAGGAUAUAAUAGUAGCUAGUUUUCUCAUCUUCAGUGAACAGGGUGGCUAUAUCAUUUAAUUUAGUAAGAUGUGCCACAACAAUUUCAGAUUCAUAACCAUAGAAAGGAUCAGAUUCAACUAAAGUAAUUAUCGCAGGAUCAACAGAGAAAUCAUAAUCCUUAUCAGUAACAAAGAUGGGUGAAGUAGCAUAAGCAUGAUCAUAUUUCAUUCUAGCAUUCAAAGUUUUUUGUUUCAGCUUAGCCAAUAAUUUCUUAAGAUCACUCCUAUCAUUGCAAGCAAGAAAAUCUCUAGAAGUUUCUUCAUCCAUAACAUAGCCCUCAGGCACAACAGGUAAUUCAUAUCUAGGGGGAGAAUCUUCAUCAUCACCUUCAUCAAUAUUAUCGAUUUCAAUAAUUUCAUUCUCUCUAGCCCUAGCAAGUUGUUCAUCAAGAAAUUCACCAAGUGGCACAGUAGUAUCAAGCAUAGAAGUAGUUUCAUCAUAAGUAUCAUGCAUAGCAGAAGUGACAUCAUAAAUAACAUGCGACAUAUUAGAAUUAAUAGUAGAAGCAGGUAUAGGUGUCGCAAGCUUACUCAAAACAGAAGGUGAAUCAAGUGCAGAGCUAGAUGGCAGUUCCUUACCUCCCCUCGUAGUUGAGGGAUAAAUUUUUGUUUUAGCGUCUUUCAAGUUCUUCAUAAUGAUAAGAAGAUAUAAAUCCCAAGUGACUCAAAGAAUAGAGCUAUGCUCCCCGGCAACGGCGCCAGAAAAUAGUCUUGAUAACCCACAAGUAUAGGGGACCGCAAUAGUUUUCGAGGGUAGAGUAUUCAACCCAAAUUUAUUGAUUCGACACAAGGGGAGCCAAAGAAUAUUCUCAAGUAUUAGCAGCCGAGUUGUCAAUUCAACCACACCUGGAAACUUAAUAUCUGCAGCAAAGUAUUUAGUAGCAGAGUAAUAUGAUAGUAGUGUUAACGAUAGCAAAAGUAACGAUAGCAAAAGUAAUGUUUUUGGUAUUUUAUAAUGAUGAUAACAAUAGCAACAGAAAAGUUGAUAAGCGAAGAACAAUAUAUCGAAAGCUCGUAGGCAAUGGAUCGGUGAUGGAGAAUUAUGACGGAUGUGGUUCAUCAUGCAACAGUCAUAACCUAGGGUGACACAGAACUAGCUCUAGUUCAUCAAUGUAAUGUAGGCAUGUAUUCCGAAUAUAGUCAUACGUGCUUAUGGAAAAGAACUUGCAUGACAUUUUUUGUCCUACCCUACCGUGGCAGUUGGGUCCUAUUGGAAACUAAGGGAUAUUAAGGCCUCCUUUUAAUAGAGUACCGGAACAAAGCAUUAACACAUAGUGAAUACAUGAACUCCUCAAACUACGGUCAUCACCAGUAAGUAUCCCGAUUAUUGUCCCUUCGGGGUUAACGGAUCAUAACACAUAAUAGGAGACUAUAGACUUGCAAGAUAGGAUCUAGAACUCUCAUAUAUUGGUGAAAGCAUAAGAGGUUCAGAUAUGAAAUUAUGGCACUCGGGCCCUAGUGACAAGCAUUACGCAUAGCAAAGUCAUAGCAACAUCAAUCUCAAAACACAGUGGAUACUAGGGAUCAAACCCUAACAAAACUAACUCGAUUACAUGAUAAAUCUCAUCCAACCCAUCACCGCCCAUCAAGCCUACGACAGAAUUACUCACGCCCAAUGGUGAGCAUCACGAAAUUGGUGAUGGAGGAUGGUUGAUGAUGACGAUGGCAGCGGAUUCCCCUCUCCGGAGCCCCGAACGAACUCCAGAUCACCCCUCUCGAGAGAGUUUAGGGCUUGGCGGCGGCUCCGUAUCAUAAAACACGAUGAAUCCAUCUCCUCUGGUUUUUUCUCCCCGAAAGUGAAUAUAUGGAGUCCAGGUUGAGGUCGAUGGAGUGUCAGGGGUCCACGAGGCAGGGGCGCCCCCCACCCUCAUGGAUAGGUGGGACACCCCCUGACGUGGAUCUUCCUUCCAAUCUUCAUUAUAUGUUCCAGAAUAAUGUUCCGUUGAUUUUCAGGUCAUUCCGAGAACUUUUAUUUCUGCACAAAAAUAACACCAUGGCAAUUCUGCUGAAAACAACGUUAGUCCGGGUUAGUUCCAUUCAAAUCAUGCAAGUUAGAGUCCAAACCAAGGGUAAAAGUAUUUGGAAAAGUAGAUACGACGGAGAUGUAUCAGUAUCCAGCCCUGGCCAAGUUCAUGGCGGUGACCCAUCACGGCUACAAAGUCCUCAAGAUGCCGGGAAGCGGCUGGAUCAUCACGGUCCCAUGUGAAGAAAGAGAUGCGGUGUGCUCCUCGAGCGUGCCUUCCAAGAUGGAGCAAUCGACGACCCCGAUAGCAAGAGCGAGGGCCCUCCUGAGGUCAUCCCCAAGAAGAAGAAGCAGCUGCGCCGUGGAGGACCUCGGGAGGGUGGCGUCACAGCCAGAGCCUCGUCAGGAUCAGCGCCCGCUCCAGAGGCGCCUCCCUCCAUCGCAUAGGAAGGCGUGCCCAGCGCCCUUCUCGGGCAGGGCUCGGGGGCUCUCUUUUGGAAGGCCUCAGGCCUUGCCCAAAUCACGAGGGAGGCGCUUGGGCACCACCUGGAGGCGUGCUUCAUGACACGUUUCCCUCAGGAGGACACAGGGCAAGGAUCGCCCACCGUUCAGGAGUUCAUCACUAAGACCACCCAGGAAUUGCAAGACGCAAGGGCCAUGCGCAGCGACCGCCGCUCACGAGGCGCAGCUUCCCAUCCAGGCGAGGAUGUCGGGCUGCGCAUCUGCAUUGACGUUCCAGGGCUCAACAGGGCCGCCUCUCAGGAGCUUUUCCGGCCUUCGCGCGUGGGACGUUGCGAGGGCCCACCGCACAGCUACAUUCGCAUGCCCUUCGGCCUGCCGAGUGUGUCAUCCACCUACCAGUGCAACUUGCAGCGCAUCCUAGUGGCUCAAGAGGCCAGACACCAUGCCGUCCUGAUGGAGAUGGAUACGGCCCUCAAGGAACCACCUGAGCCCCCGAAGCCUCCUGAGGCUCAGGGCCCCGGUGGCUCGUGAGGAGCAACCCCUCUGCUGUGCACCUUCAGCUGCCCCAACUCUCCUUCAUCAACAUAACCAGGUGACAUUUUCCAAGUUCAAUUAGCUCAGAGCGCCCCUCAGGCUGCAUCAUUCCCAGGCCGCGUGGGUCCGUCCCUGUGGCAUGUAUCCCUUUUUAUGUCUUUAGCUUACCUUGUUGGGAGCGCCCCUCGGGCUACAUCAUCCCCAAGCUGCUCGGGCCUGACCCAGUGGCACGUAUCUCCCAUGCACUUAUUUAAGCCUCCUACUCUCAUGUUUGAUGUACCUAUGAUUACCACCUGCUCGAUCGUCACCUCCCACGGGGCCUCCUCACGCCGGCAUGGUGCUGGUGCACGGGUCCAUCCCUACCACAUCGAUAAACCUGAGCGGUCGAGCUCUGGCUCGCGGCACGCCCCGCGCACGUCACCUCACCAGGCCCUCAGUACCUUCACGCCCUCACGGAGCAACCAGCGGCAGGAUGGCAACCACAAUGGCAGAUCGUGUUCUUCCUUAUGCUGGCUCGCAGGAAUCUCACGAGGAUAACACCAGGCGACACCACGAUCUCCCACCUCUUCCAAAUAAUCUGCUUGCACGUUAAAAGGGGGGCUCCUGAGCAUCACGACUUAGGAGCUCUUACUGGCUCUCCAGCCCUCACUCCCUGGCCUUGACCAUGGCACACGACCUGGCAUACCAGCGGCGGCUAAGCUCGCUGAAGGGCCGGGACCUGAGGACGUAGAGCACAAAGGAGAUCAUUGAAAGAAGGAGGACUCGUAUGGGCCUGACCUAGCUACGUUGAGGAUGUUCGCUCACGGGUCUGGUGCAUCAUGAAGAAUCGACCACGGUCCGCCAAGAUAAGUCACGAGCUCAGAUCAACUAAUCGUUGGAACCCAGGGGACACGCUCGUCGCAGCCCUGUUGCGGCAACGUCGCCUCCCUUUCUUAUCUUACCAUGGCUGCUUGAGCACUGAAGGGGACCCCCUGAGCAUCGCGCCUCAGGAGCUCUUACUGGACCUUGGGCCACUCACCUCCUGGUGUUGACCACGGCACGCGACCUGGCAUACCAGCGAUGGCUAAAGCUUGCCUGAGGACCCGGACCUGUCAGCGUAGAGCGACAAGCUGUCGCGAGAUUGGAAAGGGAAGAUUGAGCCUAAAUAGGACUUGCACUCACAAGGCUUCCAUAAUUGGGAUAAUAUCAACAAAAGACAUUGUGGACUAUUUAAACGCCCCCACGGGGCACUUCCUGAUUCCUCGCAAGGAACAAAAGAUGAGAACCUAAGAGAAUCCUAUCUACACGCCCCCACGGCCGACGCCAUCAUCAACAGUGGGCCGCGGGAGGCCGGCGCCAACCCCAUCCAGAUCAGCGACGGCGGCGACCGGACGUUGCGCCCCUGCUCCAAGCACGGCGAGAGCUCGGGGGCACGUAGCUGUCGUCGCUCGUCUCCGGAGUCUCGUAGAGCUUGGGAGAACCGCUGGACUCCCAAGAGUCGCUGUUGUUGGACCAGCCGUGAGUGGUGCGCGCCUCAUCCUGGUGUUCCCCUUUGGGGCAACACUCCAAGCGACGGCCCUCCGCGUCGAAGACCAUGAAGAACAGCAUGGAGGCGCCGUCGUACUCGAAGUGGAUCGCGAGGGCGCCCUCCGCACGGCAAACCCGCGCGACCUCACCCCAGCCAUGGGUCAUGAAGAUCUUGCUGGUGGAGACUGCUUCAACCUCUGCUCCGGUCGCCGGAGCGUCGCAGUCGGCAUGCUGCAACGAGAUUUCGAGAGGCCCCCUCGGUGGCAUCAUGUCAUAGAAGAAGCGCGGGAAGCGGAUCCAGGAGCUUGGGGGCAUCACCGCCCAUAGCACGAUCUUGCGUGAGGAGCCCGCGGCAUGGACUCCAGGAGCGACGGCACUCGUCGCCGUAGCGCGUCGACCUUGGCCGCGGUGCGCGCGUCGACGCUCGUUGCUCCUUCCUCCCGAGCCCCCAGCUUGGGCAUGCAAGGGCAGCGGAUACCCAGGAGGAGGCCGCUCGCACCAAGGCGUCGUCACCACCUGCAUCUCCACGGCAUCGCGACGGUGGACCGACCUCUUCUUCGGCGGAAGCAGCGCUGGCAUGUCGAGGGGAAUCCUUCCCUUCUCCUCGGUUGAAAACCUAUGGAUCAGCACCAUUGAAGUUGUUGCUAGCAGUGGAGUAGAGGAGGAAGAAGCAGGCGGAAUGGGAAGAAGUGGGGGACGGGGGCUCCGCCCCCUUCCUCAUUUAUAGCAAGAGAAGGCCAACCAGCUCCCCCCACGAUCACAAGUAAUGAUGGUUUUCCUUGAAUGUCGCAGGGACUUGUCAAGUCGGGCAGUUGCCGAGGUAGCAUGGGGAAGCGGAGACGCCCACGUCCAAUCAACCGCCACGCGUCAACCGAGGCUGCCAGCUUUUGGGGCCCGCGGUGCUCCUCGCUUGACCUUUGGCUUCGCCUCGAAGCCAAGCCCGAGCGUGCCUUGGGCCCGGGGGCUAUUGUCGGCGUUCUGGGAACGGGGGUCUCUAGACUUGCCUACCUGCGGCCCACGGCGUGGCUGAGCUAGCAGGCCUGUACGGCCCAUCUUCAUCGACAAGGCAUUCAAGACCCUCGCGAGGGGCCAAGCCUCGCGAGGCGGACGAUGCAAGACCCCCUCAGGAGCGGCCUCGCCAGGCAGGCUCACGAGGGCAGAGAGAUGAAGGCAAGGCCAACCUCGUGAGGUCCUCGUGAUGUGAGCCAUGACGAUCGAGACCAGGCGGGCACCAGGCAGGCGCCAGCGUGUGCAAUGUCCUUUUUUCCUCUUUGGUGCCAAGGGGGCAAGCGCAGGCGCGGAGUACCGAGGCAUGAGGCAAAGGUUUCCAUAUUGGUGCAACGAGACCAAGACCAGCAGGACGGCAAGACGGGGGUCACCAUGGAGCCCAGGACGGCGUCACCACCAGAACCUUUGGCAGGCGAAGACCACCUUUUGUCAGGAUAACUUGUACUAGCUGUCCCCUAUCAAAUUGGCUGUUGUUGGCUCCCUUCCCGCUCAAUAUUUGGGGAGAGGACCAGGGCCUCUAUACAUAGGACUAGCCACCACCAUAGGCGGGGGCGGAUCAUCAAGACCAUCCUCGGCCACGCAAGUGUGUCAAGCACAAGAACACCUCAACCUCAAGAGGCUAUUCUUCCCUUGUAUUGUUCAUCAUCAGCCCAAGAGGAAAUCCACCACCACCACACUCGAGUAGGGUAUUACACCGCAACAGUGGACCGAACCAGUAUAACUCCCGUGUCUUUGUCCUAUGAGUUCAUCGAGUUCGUCCGCGAGAUCUUAGAGAGCUAGGGCGUGGAUUGAUAGGGAGAAAACCUUCACGUGCACCCCAGUGUUCGAACCUCGAGGGUUUUGCCGGAACCCGUGAUCCGACAGGACCCAAGCCUGAAACUAAGUGCUUCUACUGCAAAGUAAAUGGUCACUGGAAGUGGAGCUACCCCAAAUACUUGGCGGAUAAGAAGGAUGCAUGGCAAAUUGAACAAAGCUAUAUUUGAUAUACAUGUUAUUGAUGUGUAUUUUACUAGUGUUCGUAGUAAACCCUAGGUAUUUAAUACCGGUUCAGUUGUUAAGAUUAGUAACUCAAAACAUGAGUUGCAGAGACUAGUUAAAAGCGAGGUGAUGAUGUGUGUUGGAAAUGAUUCCAAGGUUGAUACGAUCACCAUCGUACACUCCCUAUACCUUCGGGAUUAGUAUUGAACCUAAAUAAAUGUUUUUUGGUGUUUGCGUUGAGCAUGAGUAUGAUUAGAUCAUGUUUAUUGCAAUAUGUUUAUUCAAAGUUAGAGAAUAAUUGUUGUUUUGUUUACAUGAAUAAAACCUUCAAGGGUCAUACACCCAAUGUGAAUGGUUUAUUGAAUCUCUAUCGUAGUGAUACAAAUAUUCAUAAUAUUGAUGCCAAAAGAUGCAAAGUUGAUAAUGAUAGUGCAACAUACUUGUGGCACUGCCGUUUAGGUCAUAUUGAUGUAAAGCGCAUGAUGAAACUCCAUGCAGAUGGACUUUUCGAAUCACUUGAUUAUGAAUCAUUUGAUACUUGCAAACCAUGCCUCAUGGGCAAGAUGACUAAAACUCCAUUCUCCGGAGCAAUAGAGCGAGCUAAUGCCUUAUUGGAAAUAAUACAUACCGAUGUAUGCCGUCCAAUGAGUGUUGAAGCACGCAGCGGGUAUCAUUAUUUUCUGACCUUCACAAAUGAUUUAAGUAGAUAUGGGUAUAUUUACUUAAUGAAACACAAGUCUGAAACAUUUGAAAAGUUCAAAGAAUUUUAGAGUGAAGUAGAGAAUCAUCAUAAUAAUAAAGUAAAGUUUCUAAGAUCUGAUCGCGGAGGCGAAUAUUUGAGUUACGAGUUUGGCCUUCAUUUAAAACAAUGUGGAAUUGUUUCACAACUCAUGCCACCUGGAACACCAUAGCGUAGUGGUGUGUCCGAACAUCGUAACCGUACUUUAUUAGAUAUGGUGCGGUCUAUGAUGUCUCUUACCGAUUUACCACUAUCGUUGGGGGGUUAUGCAUUAGAGACAGCCGCAUUCACGUUAAAUAGGGCACCAUAUAAAUCCUUUGAGACGACACUGUAUGAACUAUGGUUUGGCAAGAAACCUAAGUUGUCGUUUCUUAAAAUUUGGGGUUGCGACACUUAUGUCAAAAAGGCUUCAACCCGAUAAGCUCGAACCCAAAAUCGGAGAAGUGUGUCUUCAUAGGAUACCCCAAGAAAACAAUUGGGUACACCUUCUACCACAGAUCCGAAGGCAAGAUCUUUGUUGCCAAGAAUGGAACCUUUCUGGAGAAGGAGUUUCUCUCGAAAGAAGUGAGUGGGAGGAGAGUAGAACUUGAUGAGGUAAUUGUACCUUAUCUAUUGGAAAGUAGUACAUCAGAGAAAACUGUAGCGACUAGACCUCAAACAGUCUGAUCUCUGUGCUUCAGUGUCAUCCCUGGAUCAGUAAUGCUGACACGCACAGUACUUGAAUGGAUUUAUAAUGGAGUAGCAAUCACACACUUAUUACAUCGAAUGUCUCAAAAGAGAACUUAUUACAAUAAAUAUGGCUUAAGGCCAUCUAAUAACGAUAACAGCGGAAGGCUUGGAAGAUAAGUGAGUCCAUCAACUCCAACGGCAUCACUGAGUAUAGAACCAUGACAUAAAGGCACCUUACUCAUCGUUUGAAAAGUCUGCAACAUGAAUGUUGCAGCCAGAAACGGGUCAGCACAUGGAAUAUGCUGGCAAAGUAACACAUAGAGAAUAAUGAAAGAAUAAGGCUAUACUACAUGCAUAUUUGGCUGGUGGAAAGCUCUAUGGUUAUAGUUUUGCGUAAAACCAAUUUUUCCCUACUGCAAAGGAAUAAAUUUUAUUUAACUAUCAUGGUAGUUGUUAAACGUUGAGAGUGUAGACACCCUCUCAAUCCCAAUUAAGCAUCAUAUAUAAAACCCAACAAUAUUAAUUAGAGUAACAUGAUGAGAUUCACAUGAUAAUCCAAGUACUAGAUACUCAAGUUGUCCAUAACCGGGGACACGGCUAACCAUGAUUAGUUUAUACACUCUGCAGAGGUUUGCGCACUUUUCCCCACAAGACUCGAUCUCCUCCGUUGGGAUUCUCGCACUACAUGGUGUUUGAGAAACGGAUGACCGAGACAUAGUCUUUCAAAAGUGCUAGCACCUUACGAACGGGUAGACCGUUACACCUACUUUCCCCUACAUCUACUAGUCCACCACUGUAAGAGUUCGCACGACUUAAUCAACUAUGCUAGAGACCAUAGUAGCUUGUGGCUGCACAUGGAAGUUUCUAGUAUGAAUAAUCUCAUGAUCCCUUUGAGCCCAGGUGGCGGUCCAUAAAAAACAGGCAAUCGUUGGAAUACCCAGGUGCCUCAAUCCACCCAGAUGUGUGUUUAAGUUGCCGCCUUAAAUAAACCAUUAAUUUAACAAUCUCACAUCUGUCAUGGAUACACUCACCCAAUCCACGUCUACUAGCAUAGCAUGGCAAUAUAAACAAACGUAGAAGUAACUCCCAAGGGUUUGAUAAUAAAACAGGUAAUAGGUACUACCUCAUCUACUUCCCAAAAACCACAAUUUAAUUAGAUCCUAUUCAUGCAAUGUUUGAGGAUUGAUCUAAUGCAAUAAAACUGGGUAGUAGGAGGUAUGAUCAAAGUGUUACUUGCCUUGGUGAUGAUCCGCAAAACCUAGCGAUUCAAAGUAGCAAGUCGCGCACUCCGGGUACUCUAUCGCAAACAAACAAGCAUACAAUAAGUACUCAUCUAAUGCACGGGCAAAACUCAAAUAACAGAACUAACCAGAAAGUUCAACUUAAGAACUCCGCUUUGCAAAAAGAAUCAAAUCGAACGAAGCAACGAAAGUCAAACGGCGAAAGAAACAAGAUUCGUUUACUAAUCUGGAUCUAGGUCAAAUUUUACAGAAGAAAAAACUUGUUUGAAUUGGUUAAACAGAAAGAGGGUUUCGAGACGAAACUCCAGGCGCUUGAAUCGUCUGAUUCCGAUAAACGAGCGAAAAGUUAUACUAGAACGAAAAUCGAAUCAGAAAUCGCGAUAAAAAAUAAUCGCGGAAAAAUCCGAGAAAAAGAAAAAUGACGAACAGAUUAACGAACGAACGUUCAUUUCUUGUAACUAAACGGUGAACGCGUUCGUUAAAACGAAAGAAUGAGUGAACGCUCGCUAAAUAAACUAAACCGAAAAUAAACCGAUCUAACUAAAAAAACGGAUCUAAAAAAACCGACGAAAAACCGAACGGUUUUCCGGGGAAAACCGGCGGCGGCGGGUGGGGUCAACCUCGGCGGCGGCGGGGUCCGGCGACGGUGGCGGGACGGUGGCAGGGCGGNNNNNNNNNNNNNNNNNNNNNNNNNNNNNNNNNNNNNNNNNNNNNNNNNNNNNNNNNNNNNNNNNNNNNNNNNNNNNNNNNNNNNNNNNNNNNNNNNNNNNNNNNNNNNNNNNNNNNNNNNNNNNNNNNNNNNNNNNNNNNNNNNNNNNNNNNNNNNNNNNNNNNNNNNNNNNNNNNNNNNNNNNNNNNNNNNNNNNNNNNNNNNNNNNNNNNNNNNNNNNNNNNNNNNNNNNNNNNNNNNNNNNNNNNNNNNNNNNNNNNNNNNNNNNNNNNNNNNNNNNNNNNNNNNNNNNNNNNNNNNNNNNNNNNNNNNNNNNNNNNNNNNNNNNNNNNNNNNNNNNNNNNNNNNNNNNNNNNNNNNNNNNNNNNNNNNNNNNNNNNNNNNNNNNNNNNNNNNNNNNNNNNNNNNNNNNNNNNNNNNNNNNNNNNNNNNNNNNNNNNNNNNNNNNNNNNNNNNNNNNNNNNNNNNNNNNNNNNNNNNNNNNNNNNGCGGCUCCGGCGGCGCGCGGCGGCGGCGGGCUAGGGUUAAGGUUAGGGUUUCGGCGCGGGGUGGGCUUACGGGCUCGGGGCGGCUCCUUAUAAAGGCCGGCCGGACAGAGUCCUAGCCGAGUAAGGCCCAAAGUCAGUUGCUCGUUUUUUUAAAUAAUUACGCGCAGAAAAACAAAUAAAGUAAAUACUAAACAGACUCCAAAAAUCCCGAAAUAAAUUUUCCCCGACUUCUAAAAUCAAGCCGAACAGGAUGAACAUUUAUUUGGGGCAUAAAUGCAAUUUUGAGAAACGCGCAUUUUUCCUAAAUUCAAAUAAAAUAGCAAAUAACUCCAAAAUAAAAUCUUAUUUGAUUUUUUAUUAGAUCCUCAAUAUUUCUUUAUUUUGGGAAAUUCAUUUUAUUCCCUCUCUCAUAUUUUUAUGAUAGAAAUAAUUGAAGAUAAAAUAAAUCAAAUCAAAUGAUCCUAUUUUUAAAAUUUGAGAAAACUCAAAUAUGAAAAUAAUGAAAUCCCCAACUCUCUCCGAGGGUCCUUGAGUUGCGUAAAAUUUCUAGGAUCAAACCAAAAGCAAAUAAAAUAUGAUAUGCUGUGAUGAUCUAAUGUAUAACAUUCCAAAUUUGAAUAUUUGGGAUGUUACAAACCUACCCCCCUUAAGAUGAAUCUCGGCCUCGAGAUUCGGGUUGGCUAGAAAAUAGGUGAGGGUGGUCCUUUAGCAGUUCUUCCUCCCACUCCCAGGUGGCCUCAUCCUCCGUGUGGUGGCUCCACUGAACUUUGCAAAACUUGAUAACCUUGCUACGGGUGACUCGGCUGGCAUACUCAAGAAUCUUGACUGGUUUCUCCUCAUAGGUCAAAUCACUGUCCAACUGAAUCGCUUAACUCCUCGAAGUGGAGAUACUCGAAGAUAAACUCGGUCUCCGACUUUGUAAAUUGUCUCCUUGCGUUUAGAAUCUGCGUAGCUCUUCUGCCUAGACUGGGCUACCUUGAGCCUAUCGUGAAUCAAUUUCACCUUCUGUUCAGACUCCUUAAUCAGAUCCGGUCCAAACAACUGGCGGUCUCCAACUUCAUCCCACGACAAUGGGGUCCUGCACCUCCUUCCGUACAAGGCUUCGAAAGGGGCCAUCUUCAAACUGGAUUGAUAACUGUUGUUGUAAGAGAACUCUGCAUACGGCAAAUUGUUGUCCCAGCUAGAUCCGUAAUCUAGCGCGCUAGCUCUCAACAUAUCCUCCAAAAUCUGAUUGACUCUCUCGGUCUGUCCAUCUGUCUGCGGAUGAAAAGCUGUAUUGAACUCUAGCCUGGUACCCAAAGUUUCAUGCAACGGGUUCCAGAACUUUGAGGUAAAUUGGGUUCCUCUAUCUGAUACAAUACUCCUUGGAACUCCAUGCAGACAUACGAUCCUGGUCAUGUAUAUCUUUGCCAACUUAGCACUGGUGUAGGUAGUCUUCACUGGGAUGAAAUGAGCUACCUUUGUCAAACGAUCGACUACUACCCAAAUCGAGUCAUAGCCUAAACGCAUUCUAGGCAAUCCCGUAUAAAAUCCAUGCCUAGCUUAUCCCACUUCCAUUCGGGUAUCGGCAAUGGCUGUAACAAUCCUGCUGGCUUCUGAUGCUCUGCCUUUACUCUCUGACAUACAUCACAAAUUGCUACAUACUCCGCAAUAUCCUUCUUCAUUCCGUUCCACCAGAAAGUAUCCUUCAAAUCCAAAUACAUCUUGGUAUUUCCUGGAUGAACCGAAUAUGGUGAAUCAUGGACCUCCUGCAGAAUUAACUUCCUGAUCUCCGGGUCAUUGGGCACAUAAACACGGUCUUCAAACCAUAGGGUAUCGUGUUAAUCCUCACGAAAUCCUUUAACUUUUCCUUUGCUCAUCUUCUCCUUUAUAGAGGCAAUCUCCUUGUCAGUCUUCUGAGCUUCUCUGAUCUUAUCCAUCAAAGUAGACUGAAUCUCCAAUGCUACUACAUAUCCUCUCGGAACUAUCUCCAAACAUAACUCACGAAGGUCCUCGGCUAACUCCUUCGAUAAAUCUCCCGUCAUUAGUGUGUUGACAUGGCUUUUACGGCUCAGCGCAUCGGCUACUACGUUGGCCUUUCCGGGAUGAUAAUGCAAUCUCAUGUCAUAAUCCUUGAUGAGCUCUAACCAUCUUCUUUGCCUAAGAUUUAGCUCCUUCUGUGUGAAGAUGUACUUCAAACUCUUGUGAUCUGUGUACACUUCACAAUGGUUUCCAAUGAGAAAAUGUCUCCAAGUCUUUAAUGCAUGCACUACGGCUGCUAAAUCCAAAUCAUGCGUGGCAUAAUUUAACUCAUGAGGCUUAAGCUGUCGUGAGGCAUAUGAAACAACUCUUCCCUCCUGCAUAAGCACUGCUCCUAGUCCUCGACGUGAAGCGUCGCAAUAUACCUCAUAAUCUUUGGUCUAAUCCGGCAAAAUCAACACUGGUGAUGUAACCAAACGUUUCUUCAACUCCUGGAAACUGGCCUCACAUUCCUCAGUCCAUAUGAACUUGGUAUCCUUCUUCAACAACUCCGUCAUAGGUUUUGCAAUUUUCGAGAAAUUUUCAAUGAAUCUCCGGUAGUAUCCUGCAAGUCCAAGAAAACUCCGGAUUUCUCCAACUGUUGUUGGGGCUUCCCAAUUUGUCACAGUGUCAACCUUGGUGGGAUCUACUGCUAUACCUUCUCCGGAUAUAACGUGUACGAGGAAUCCAACUUCCUUCAACCAAAACUCACAUUUGCUGAACUUGGCAUAUAACUGAUGUUCUCUGAGCUUCCCAAGUACCAAACACAAAUGCUCCUUAUGCUCCUCUUCAUUCUCCGAGUAAACCAGAAUAUCAUCAAUGAACACUACGACGAACUUAUCCAAAAACUCCAUAAACACUUUGUUCAUCAUGUUCAUAAAAUAGGUAGGUGCAUUAGUCAGACCAAAUGACAUAACAGUAUACUCGUACAGCCCAUACCUGGUGGUAAAAGCCGUCUUAUUUAUAUCAUGUUCUCGAAUCUUCAAUUGAUGGUAUCCUGAUCGCAGAUCGAUCUUGGAAAAUACCUUAGCUCCUUGCAAUCGAUCAAACAGAUCAUUGAUCAUCGGUAGUGGGUACUUGUUCUUGAUUGUUACUUCAUUCAAUUCUAGAUAAUCAACAACCAUCCUUAACGAUCCAUCAUUCUUUUCCACUAGAAGUACCGGCGAUCCCCAGGGCGAAGAACUUGGGUGAAUAUAAUCUUUAUCCAGUAACUCCUUAAUCUGCUUCUUAAUCUCCUCCAAAUCCUUUGCGGGCAUCCUGUAUGGUCUCUUAGAUAUUGGCCCUGUUCAUGGCAAAAGCUCAAUAAAAAAACUCAAUGUCUCUAUCCGGUGGCAUGCCUGGCAACUCCUCUGGAAAUACAUCAGGAAAAUCCUUUACCACCGGUACUUCCUCCUGUAAAACUCAUGUUAGGGAAUUUACUUGAGUCCUCUUAGGCACAUGUCGGGAUACAUACUUGAUCCUUCUUCCUUCUGGGGUGGUAAGCAAAAUCGACUUACUGGCGCAAUCGAUGUUUCCUCCAUACAUCGUCAGCCAAUCCAUACCCAGAAUUACAUCCAAACCUUGUGAUUCCAAAAUGAUCAAAUCCGAGGGAAACACAUGCCUACCUAUACUCAAUGGCACUUGAAAACACCCUCGGCUGGCCAUAUACUCCGCUCCUGGUGAGCUUACUAGCAUAGGUGUUCUAAGAACCUUGGUGGGCAGGUUAUACUUAUCCACAAAUCCCCUUGAUAUGUAUGAAUGCGAUGCACCAGUAUCAAAAAGAACGAUUGUAGUAAAAGACUUAACCAAAAACUUACCGAUUACUGCAUCGGACUGCUCUUCAUCCUCCUCCAUGUUAACGUGGUUCACAUGUCCCCUAUUGAAAGGGUUCGGCUUCUUCCCAGAGCUUACAUUGCCAUUUCCAUUCUGGGAUUCAGGACAUUCAUUGGCAUAAUGUUCGGUCUUCUGGCACUUAAAGCAAGUGACUUGGCUCAGGUCUCUCUUGGCUGGGGUUGAUGGGUUGGUACGGUUCUGGCCGUUGCUUCCUCCAUUCCCAUCACCAUUCUUGGGGCCAUUAUGAUUAUGCGAACUUCCUCCUCCAUGAGUAUGCUGAAAAGGUCCUCCCGGUUUAGCGGUAAAACGCGGCUUCUGCUGCGCUCCAGAAUUGUACUUCCCUUGUCCAUACUUCCUCUUACAGUUUUCAAUCUGUUGCUGCUUCCCCUCAAUCAUAAGAGCGCGAUCCACCAACUCCUGGUAGUUGUUGAAGCUUGCCACCAUCAACUGCAUGCUCAACUCAUCAUCCAGUCCUUCCAGAAACUUCUCAUGCUUAGCUGCAUCCGUAGCAACGUCAUCUGGGGCAUAACGUGCUAGCUUACUAAAGUCAUCCACAUACUAGCCAACUGUCCGUCCUCCUUGGCGCAAGUUGUGAAACUCACGCUUCUUCAUGGCCAUAGCUCCUCCUGAAACAUGGACAGUGCAGGAAGCCUGCUGAAACUGGUCCCAUGUGACAGUGUCGAUAGGGUAAGUGGCUGUCAAAUUCUCCCACCAUGAUGCUGCGGGUCCAUCCAACUGAUGUGCGGCAAACUUCACCUUUUCUGCAUUCAUGCAUCCUGCCGUGGUAAACUCCCUUGUUGUCUUGCGGAGCCAAUCAUCUGCUACUAUAGGCUCGGUGCUACUGGAGAACACCGGCGGAUUCAGCCUAAUAAAACGGGUUAAGUGAUCAACAGGUGGUGGUGGUGGUGGGUUGUUGUUGUUGUUCCCCUGAUUCUGAUUCUGGACUAGCAACUGCAUCAACGUAUUCUGCUGCUGGAUCAACUGAGUGAGCUCCGGUGGGAAGGUAAAUCUGGGGUCAUGUCUCGGAGGCAUCUGAUGGGUUUAGAAAAGAUGAGAUUUAAGAAUAGAGAGAGGUCUAGAGAGAAAACACUACCCAUAUGCACAUGAGGCUAAUGCAAACAAUUCACUUCAUUCAAUCAAACAAGGGCAUCAAUCGGUCUAACUAUCACAAAAUUGCUCGGACUACUCUAUUUACAUGGUGGAAUACUACUACUGAUGUGGUGGUCUACUAGAAAUAUUCUUCGGUUGCAGACUCCAUGAUAUCCGCUCCAGCUUCAUCAGCAUAGUCAUCAUCACUAUCGUCUGGGUCCGAAUCGGUGUCGUCAAUGAUGAUGUAGUCUUCCGGGCGUAUCUCCUUGGGUUCUUCGUCUUCUUCUACUGGUGUAGGGUCUCCCAUGAAUAUUCUGAACCUCUUGAUCAGGUCGUCAUUCUUCUCUACUAAUACUUCGAUUUCCUCCAUAUAAUCUUCAUGUGUAGCCUUGAGUUCUUCUUCCAGCUCCGUGAUUCUUGUCCUUGCCUUCUUCAGAUCAAUCAUGUCUGCACACAUCUGGUUCUCCUGACGUCGAAUGUGCUGGUUUAACUCCUGGAUAAAAGCUGUGAUUGAUCUCUCCUUCUUGGUGCUGAUCAUCUCCCAUUGCUCAUCUCGGCGCCCACAAAUCUGGUAGAUAGUAUCGUUGAGAUAAUUGUGGUAAACUUCUCCAAUACGUCCCAUGGCGAUGUGAGCUGCCAUGCUCUUUCCUAGACUCCAGGUUGGUGCAUCAAAGGAAAACUCUAUAGGCUCAGUGACGGGCAUGAACGUCCUUCCUGGAACUUGAACUUGAAUCAUCCAGCGCUCCUCUUCCGGUAAAGUGGCGUUGUAGGUUCCGAUGAAGCUUGGUACUUCGAUGUUCAGGUAUCUAGUGACUUCCUUCAAGUGACGUCCAAAGGGUGUAUCUUCAUCCGGUUGCGUAAACUUGUUCCUUGCAUCCGCCAUCCUAAAAGAGUAGAAAAUAUGAGGAGUCGGAAAUGAGAAGAGUGAGUAGUGAUCUAGGCCUUUAUCUUAGUGGUCGUGUCCUACAGUCAGCGUGUGCUCUGAUACCAUCUUGUAGCGACCAGACCUCAAAUAGUCUGAUCUCUGUGCUUCAGUGUCAUCCCUGGAUCAGUAAUGCUGACAUGCACAGUACUUGAAUGGAUUUAUAACAGAGUAGCAAUCACACACUUAUUACAUCGAAUGUCUCAAAAGAGAACUUAUUACAAUAAAUAUGGCUUAAGGCCAUCUAAUAACGAUAACAGCGGAAGGCUUGGAAAAUAAGUGAGUCCAUCAACUCCAACGGCAUCACUGAGUAUAGAACCACGACCUAAAGGCACCUUACUCGUCGUCUGAAAAGUCUGCAACAUGAACGUUGCAGCCUGAAACGGGUCAGCACAUGGAAUAUGCUGGCAAAGUAACACAUAGAGAGUAAUGAAAGAAUAAGGCUAUACUACAUGCAUAUUUGGCUGGUGGAAAGCUCUAUGGUUAUAGUUUUGCGUAAAGCCAAUUUUUCCCUACUGCAAAGGAAUGAAUUUUAUUUCACUAUCAUGGUAGUUGUUAAACAUUGAGAGUGUAGACACCCUCUCAAUCCCAAUUAAGCAUCAUAAAUAAAACCCAACAAUAUUAAUUAGAGUAACAUGAUGAGAUUCACAUGAUAAUCCAAGUACUAGAUACUCAUGUUGUCCAUAACCGGGGACACGGCUAACCAUGAUUAGUUUAUACACUCUGCAGAGGUUUGCGCACUUUUCUGGAUCUAGGUCAAAUUUUACAGAAGCAAAAAC
rnacentral:lncRNA from 1 species